CAGCCGCCGCGGUAAUACGUAGGGUGCAAGCGUUAAUCGGAAUUACUGGGCGUAAAGCGUGCGCAGGCGGUUAUAUAAGACAGAUGUGAAAUCCCCGGGCUCAACCUGGGAACUGCAUUUGUGACUGUAUAGCUAGAGUACGGCAGAGGGGGAUGGAAUUCCGCGUGUAGCAGUGAAAUGCGUAGAUAUGCGGAGGAACACCGAUGGCGAAGGCAAUCCCCUGGGCCUGUACUGACGCUCAUGCACGAAAGCGUGGGGAGCAAACAGGAUUAGAGACCCGUGUAGUCCCUGUCUCUUAUAC
rnacentral:rRNA from 1 species